rnacentral:lncRNA from 1 species
AGAAUUAAUUAAUCAGUUGGAUAUUCGGGAGUCAAAAACUCGUUAAUUUUAUAAAGGCAUUUUGAAUGAUUUGAUUUAUUAGAUCUUGAAUUUUAAUGAAUUAUGUGAUUUAUUAGUUCCACCUCAUUCUGUCGCGUCUCCUUAGAGAAACUCUGCUCCACCUGUAAGCUUAGCGGAGAAAUGACAGAACCUCUAGUUUCGGGCAUAAAUCCUAACAAACUUAGACCACAGGGGUUUAAAUCCGAAUUUUUUUUACCACAGGGACUAUCUUCCGAAUACCUUAUGACCACAUAGACCAUUUAUCCGAUUUUGCCAACCUAAACCUAAUGGAGGAAUGACAGAAGGACAUAAAUCCUAACAGACUUAGACCACAUGGGUUUAAAUCCUAACAGACUGUGACCACAGGGGUUUAAAUCCGAACUUUUUUACCACAGGGGCUAUCAUCCGAAUACUUUAUGACCACGGGGACCAUUUAUCCAAUUAGGCCUUUUUCUUUCUUUCUCAAGCUCAGCAGCUCUCUCUCACUUGAGUUCCAGAGGCAGGGCUCCAAAAGCUAUGUUAAAAUCUCUCUCUCUCUCUCUCUCUCUCU